UACCAUGCUGAGACAAAACCAAAACUAGAACGUAAAAGACUACCAUCAGCAUAAUGGCACUGGACCCAGGACAGAAAUGUCCCAUGGUACUGUUAUGCGGGAAUUCUCAUCCAGAAUUGUCACAACUAAUUGCACAGAGACUUGGAGUAAGAUUGGGUGACAUCAAUGUUUAUCACAAAACUAACAGAGAAACAAAUGUAGAAAUCAAAGAGUCAGUUAGAGGAAAAGAUGUUUACAUCAUACAAACUGGCACCAAGUAAGUGAA